GCCACCGUAACGCAGAGGUUAGCAUAUCCGCCUAUGAUGCUGAAUGCCCGGGUUCGAUUCCUGGCGAUUACA
rnacentral:tRNA from 1 species